UACGUAGGCAGCAAGCGUUGUUCGGAAUUACUGGGCGUAAAGAGUGUGUAGGCGGUGCUCUAAGUUCGGUGUGAAAUCUCCCGGCUCAACUGGGAGGGUGCGCCGGAAACUGGAAUGCUUGAGCGUGGGAGAGGAAAGCGGAAUUCCUGGUGUAGCGGUGAAAUGCGUAGAUAUCAGGAGGAACACCUGCGGUGUAGACGGCUUUCUGGACCAUUGCUGACGCUGAGACACGAAAGCGUGGGUAGCAAACGGG
rnacentral:rRNA from 1 species